rnacentral:tRNA from 1 species
UCCCCUGUAGCUCAGCGGUAGAGUCGGUGACUGUUAAUCACUUUGUCGCAAGUUCGAAUCUUGCCGGGGGAG